GGCAGUGUGGUUUGGUGAUUUGAGUUGGACUAUGACUCUGGAGAUCAGGGUUCAAUUCCCUGCUCGGUCA